AAACCAGAAUUAAUAUUAAUAAGGAGAGAUUCAUACCUUAUUCUUUCUAGAGCAACAAUAUCUUCAAUACUUACUUUGAAUCAAAGCUAAAAUCUACCACAAAACAAGACUACACUCACCGCUACACGUUUCCCAAGCCUCGUAUAUAGUCUCGUCACUUUAAUCCGCUUACGAAUUACCUCUCAAUGUUUCUUGAAAGCUCUCAUAUGUUUUUGGAUGAAGAGGAGUGAAGAAAUGAGGUUUAUGGUCAGCUUUAGCCCUUAGAUAGCUUCUAGAGGAUGGUUGCACCGACCUAGAAUUUUCCUCAGCGCAUUCGCGCCCUGUAGCAGCGCGCGACACUACGCGUUCGUGCACUGUAGUUGCCCGUUCGCACAAGGCGAUCCCCUGCUCCGCCUGCCUAACUUGUAACGUCCAUAAUUCUCUACUCCGACGUCGUAUCGACGAACGGUUUGUUGCGUUGGAAACUAGAUUCCCUGAACUUCCAUUUAGGAUUUUGUUUCACUCCAAAACUCCUCGCAUACUAAAAGAUAUUCUUCCUCCAAGAAGGGCCAAAAUUACCCCUCAUAUUUUCUCCAAAAUCCAACAAACUUAAUUUCCUUGGUUCACUUGCCCUCCAAUCCUUCCGUAACUUAUUACAUGGACUUAAACCCGCAUAAACAUAAGAUAAGCGCAUCUAAUCGUAUAUAUAUCCUUGAAGGCAACUCGUAGUCCAUACCUAAAACAACCAACACUUAUAAAUCUCAACGUACAGAACUACGGGGUGUAACAGCUUAUACAAAAGAUUCUAAGUGUCAUAGUAAGACUAAGCACAUAGAUACAAAGUAUAACUUUGUUAGAGACAUCAUAACACAUAAGGAAAUCACUCUACAGUAUAUUUCAACACACAAAAUGGUGGCUGAUCCCUUGAUGAAACCAAUACCUAGGGAUGUGUUUAUUCAGCAUGUGAAAUCUCUAGGCUUGCACAAAUUGUACAGUGUUGUAUUUCCUUAUUUGAAUACAAUACUUAUUUAUUUUUUUAUUUUUGGAAGAAUACGCAUAUUUGUUUUGUUUCCUGAAAAUUCCAAUCAUAUUUGUUAAUUGGCACAAUCACAAUAUUAGACUAUGUCGUACAGGAUGAUAAGGUUGGUUUUCUCACACGAGCAACUGCCUUGGGCACUUAUGCGGAGCGAGCCAAGAUGAGACAUUCGUGUUUCUUACGACUAAAAGGAGCUCCAGAGAGGCCAGGUAAAACCUCAAGAUGAGAUCUUUAAGAUUACUCACACGAAGAAGACGAAGAACGCCGAUGGUAUAGACCGAUCGAUUGAGCGAAGGGUUGAGCAAACCUAUAACGAAUUUCAACAACACUUUGGGGAGUUUCGUGCUACUCAGCCAACCGGUACGCCGAUAACCGUAGAGGUAAUAGAGUAGCAGUGUGUCACAACCUAACCGGAAGGCCAUGACGGGCGUCCCGAUCUAACCUACCGAGCACCACAAGACAUACAUGCAUUACGUAAUCAUAUCUGAGUGGGCCAUGAUGCUAGCUAAUAGAUAUCAUAAGCUGAGAGAGACACAAGCCCAAAAGAUAUAUAUACAUGUGUAACCGUACUGAACCACAAUGUACAAGCCAACAAGGCUAUCCAAAAUAAUGAUACAAUAAAAUAUAGACUGAGAAGGUCAUAGAACAUCUAAACUGUGCAUAUCUGUCUACGAGCCUCUACUAGAAUGCAAAACAUAAUAAGGACGGAAUAAGACCCUACCAUACCCAUAUGUACACAAAAGAAUCAUACCAAGCUAGACUGCAACUCCGGAACGAGUGGACUACUCCAAUACAAGCGCUAAGAAGGUAGCCUAAGGGCCUGAACCGUCUCCCUGUCUACCUACGGGCA